rnacentral:rRNA from 1 species
AUUGAACGCUGGCGGCAGGCCUAACACAUGCAAGUCGAACGAGUGGCGGACGGGUGAGUAAUGUCUGGGAAACUGCCCGAUGGAGGGGGAUAACUACUGGAAACGGUAUCUAAUACCGCAUACCAUCUGAUGUGCCCAGAUGGGAUUAGCGGGUGGGUGGGGUAACGGCUCACCGAGGCGACGCUCCCUAGCUGGCCUGAGAGGAUGACCAGCCAAACUGGAACGGGGAAACGGUCCGGACUCCUACGGGAGGAAGCAGUGGGGAAUAUUGCACAAGGGGCGCAAGCCUGAUGCAGACAUGCCGCGUGUAUGAAGAAGGCCUUCGGGUUGUAAAGUACUUUCAGCGGGGAGGCGUUACCCGAAGAAGAAGCACCGGCUAACUCCGUGCCAGCAGCCGCGGUAAUAC